GAGUGAUCUUGCACGUUUGUGUCAUGGCACGCCAAAGAAGUGGCCAAAACACGGAAUGGGAGCUGUGUUGUCAGUGACGUCAUCGCUUGGCACUUGGGUAGUAUGCUUUAUGUUUUUGUUGUUAGCGGAGUUCCCAAUUCCAAAUAUCCAUGGAAGACUGGUCUGGGCAUUCUAGGUAUGCUUGUUCAGAAAUUAUGGCACUUCGUUUCCUGAGAUGCAUACCCAUGUUGUUCACCA
rnacentral:lncRNA from 1 species